rnacentral:rRNA from 1 species
UACGAGGGGGCGAGCGUUGUUCGGAAUUAUUGGGCGUAAAGAGCGUGUAGGCGGUUAGGUAGGUCCGUUGUGAAACUCGAGCUCAACCUCGAGACGCCGAUGGAACCCCUAACUAGAGUCCGGAAGAGGAGAGUGGAAUUCCUGGUGUAGCGGUGAAAUGCGCAGAUAUCAGGAAGAACACCCGUGGCUAAGGCGGCUCUCUAGUACGGUACUGACGCUGAGACGCGAAGCGUGGGGAGCGAACAGG